UGUUUCGGCUAGGGGGCCAUCCCGGCUUACCAACCCGAUGCAAACUGCGAAUACCGGAGAAUGUUAUCACGGGAGACACACGGCGGGUGCUAACGUCCGUCGUGAAGAGGGAAACAACCCAGACCGCCAGCUAAGGUCCCAAAGUCAUGGUUAAGUGGGAAACGAUGUGGGAAGGCCCAGACAGCCAGGAUGUUGGCUUAGAAGCAGCCAUCAUUUAAAGAAAGCGUAAUAGCUCACUGGUCGAGUCGGCCUGCGCGGAAGAUGUAACGGGGCUAAACCAUGCACCGAAGCUGCGGCAGCGACGCUGAUGCGUUGUUGGGUAGGGGAGCGUUCUGUAAGCCUGCGAAGGUGGCCUGUGAGGGUUGCUGGAGGUAUCAGAAGUGCGAAUGCUGACAUAAGUAACGAUAAAGCGGGUGAAAAGCCCGCUCGCCGGAAGACCAAGGGUUCCUGUCCAACGUUAAUCGGGGCAGGGUGAGUCGACCCCUAAGGCGAGGCCGAAAGGCGUAGUCGAUGGGAAACGGGUUAAUAUUCCCGUACUUGGUGUUACUGCGAAGGGGGGACGGAGAAGGCUAUGUUGGCCGGGCGACGGUUGUCCCGGUUUAAGCGUGUAGGUGUGUGUUCCAGGUAAAUCCGGUUCACUUUAACACUGAGGCGUGACGACGAGGCACUACGGUGCUGAAGCAACAAAUGCCCUGCUUCCAGGAAAAGCCUCUAAGCAUCAGGUAACAUCAAAUCGUACCCCAAACCGACACAGGUGGUCAGGUAGAGAAUACCAAGGCGCUUGAGAGAACUCGGGUGAAGGAACUAGGCAAAAUGGUGCCGUAACUUCGGGAGAAGGCACGCUGACACGUAGGUGAAGUGAUUUACUCAUGGAGCUGAAGUCAGUCGAAGAUACCAGCUGGCUGCAACUGUUUAUUAAAAACACAGCACUGUGCAAACACGAAAGUGGACGUAUACGGUGUGACGCCUGCCCGGUGCCGGAAGGUUAAUUGAUGGGGUCAGCGCAAGCGAAGCUCCUGAUCGAAGCCCCGGUAAACGGCGGCCGUAACUAUAACGGUCCUAAGGUAGCGAAAUUCCUUGUCGGGUAAGUUCCGACCUGCACGAAUGGCGUAAUGAUGGCCAGGCUGUCUCCACCCGAGACUCAGUGAAAUUGAACUCGCUGUGAAGAUGCAGUGUACCCGCGGCAAGACGGAAAGACCCCGUGAACCUUUACUAUAGCUUGACACUGAACAUUGAGCCUUGAUGUGUAGGAUAGGUG
rnacentral:rRNA from 1 species